UACAGAGGUCUCAAGCGUUGUUCGGAUUCAUUGGGCGUAAAGGGUGCGUAGGUGGCGCCGUAAGUCAGGUGUGAAAUUUCGGAGCUUAACUCCGAAACUGCAUUGAUACUGCGGUGCUUGAGGACUGGAGAGGAGACUGGAAUUUACGGUGUAGCAGUGAAAUGCGUAGAGAUCGUAAGGAAGACCAGGUGGCGAAGGCGG
rnacentral:rRNA from 1 species